UGACCAGGGUUGGAGGUUCUCCGUACUUCUUCCUCCUCCACAUCCUCUUCCUGUUCCACGCGCAUGAUCCCGAAAGCAUCUCCGGCAUCGAACACCUUCAACACGAACACACACACACUGUAACCUGCACAUUCAGAAUCAGUCCUGCUCUCCAUGAUUCCUGACAGCUCGCAGCCUCCUGGCCGGACCAGGACCCCACGUGUUCGGCGCUGUGCUGCAAUGCAUCACGGGAGCGACGGUUCAAAGGGACAGAAAAAAAUACCAGAAAGUCGCGUAAUCAGGGAAAGUCGCGGCGUUAUGACGUCACGGCGGCUCCUGCAGUGCUUCUUACAGGAGCUUUGAGGAUGGAUUUGGACUGUGGUUAAUGUCAACAGUCUGCUACACUGACUCAGGACCACAGUUUGCAUUUAAUCACUAUCACUGCACACCUCGAUAUUGUGAAUCUGUA